ACCCUUUUCCUGCACCGGUCGGCCUGCCCGGUCACGGCCGGACUGGACUACGCGCAUGGUACGUGCUCCAGUCCGGCGGUGGCCUGGCUUUGCACUUCACCACAUUGUGAAGACUGGGCCGGCUAACGGCUUUUUCCGUUUCCUACGCGCACAAGCAUCUGAGCCAACGCACCCGUAUGCUCUCCCCCUGGGGUACAGAUCGACACGCAAUUACGAGGACCUACUUUCAUCGACGCCCCCAUCCAAGUGAAGACAGCUAAACCUCUCGCAAGCACCCAGAUUGCCGAAUGGAGAAACCUUGGCUCGCCUACUCUACGCCGCCUGAGGCUGCCUUCGAUGGUCUACAGUCGUCCUUGUCCAAGUGCUCCUGGCCUACACUUUCUACUACCUACAAUGAACGAAACUCUUUUUUUUUUUUUUUUGAGGAGGCCAUCGACACGAUAACUGCGAGCUAGUGUUGACUUCAUGUUUCUCCAGGGGAACGAAGAUUGCAAGCGAUUUUACCUUUCAA